rnacentral:rRNA from 1 species
UACGGGGGAGCAAGCGUUGUUCGGAUUUACUGGGCGUAAAGGGCGCGGUAGGCGGUCAGCACAAGUCAGUUGUGAAAUCUCCGGGCUUAACUCGGAAAGGUCAACUGAUACUGUGCGACUAGAGUGCAGAAGGGGCAACUGGAAUUCUCGGUGUAGCGGUGAAAUGCGUAGAUAUCGAGAGGAACACCUGCGGCGAAGGCGGGUUGCUGGGCUGACACUGACGCUGAUGCGCGAAAGCCAGGGGAGCGAACGGG